GAUGAACGCUGGCGGCGUGCCUAAUACAUGCAAGUCGAGCGAACGGACGAGAAGCUUGCUUCUCUGAUGUUAGCGGCGGACGGGUGAGUAACACGUGGAUAACCUACCUAUAAGACUGGGAUAACUUCGGGAAACCGGAGCUAAUCCCGGAUAAUCUUUUGCACCGCAUGGUUCAAAAGUGAAAGACGGCCUUGCUGUCAGUUCUAGCUGGAUCUGCGCUGCUUUAGCUAGUUGGGAAGGUAACGGCUUACCAAGGCAACGAUGCAUAGCCGACCUGAGAGGGUGAUCGGCCACACUGGAACUGGAACACGGUCCAGACGCCUACGGGAGGCAGCAGUAGGGAAUCUUCCGCAAUGGGCGAAAGCCUGGCGGAGCGACGCCGCGUGAGUGAUGAAGGUCUUCGGAUCGUGAAACUCUGUUAUGAGGGAAGAACAUAUGUGUAAGGAACUGUGCACAUCUUGACGGUACCUAAUCAGAAAGCCACGGCUAACUACGUG
rnacentral:rRNA from 1 species